UAGGGCGCGAGCGUUGUCCGGAUUUAUUGGGCGUAAAGAGCUCGUAGGCGGCUUGUUGCGUCGGCUGUGAAAUCCCGUGGCUUAACUGCGGGCUUGCAGCUGAUACGGGCGGGCUGGAGUUCGGUAGGGGAGACUGGAAUUCCUGGUGUAGCGGUGAAAUGCGCAGAUAUCAGGAGGAACACCGGUGGCGAAGGCGGGUCUCUGGGCCGAUACUGACGCUGAGGAGCGAAAGCGUGGGGAGCGAACAGG
rnacentral:rRNA from 1 species